rnacentral:tRNA from 1 species
GCGAGCGUAGUCUAGCUGGUUAGGACGGAAGCUUCCCAAGCUUUUGACCCGGGACGAUUUUGUAAUCCACAAAUCGCGGGAAUUCGAAUCCCGGCGCUCGCACCU